rnacentral:pre_miRNA from 1 species
AAUCUUAAUGCCCAGAUGCAGGUACUGUCUCAGUGCAAUGCACCUGGGCAAGGAUUCA